AGAGUUUGAUCAUGGCUCAGAAUCAACGCUGGCGGCGUGCCUCAGACAUGCAAGUCGAACGAGAAAGUCCCCUUCGGGGGGUGAGUAAAGUGGCGCACGGGUGAGUAACACGUAGGUAAUCUACCUUCGGGUGGGGAAUAACCCAGGGAAACUUGGGCUAACACCGCAUAAUGCAGCGGCACCACAUGGUGACAGUUGUUAAAGCGGGGGAUUUUAGGACCUCGCGCCUGAAGAGGAGCCUGCGGCGGAUUAGCUAGUUGGUAAGGUAACGGCUUACCAAGGCGACGAUCCGUAACCGGCCUGAGAGGGCGGUCGGUCACACUGACACUGACAUACGGGUCAGACUCCUACGGGAGGCAGCAGUCGGGAAUUUUGGGCAAUGGGCGAAAGCCUGACCCAGCAACGCCGCGUGAAGGAUGAAAUCCCUCGGGAUGUAAACUUCGCAAGAUUGGGAAGAAUUAGUAGGGGUUAAUACCCUCUAUGAUGACGGUACCUUUUGUAAGCUCCGGCUAACUCCGUGCCAGCAGCCGCGGUAAUACGGGGGGAGCAAGCGUUGUUCGGAUUU
rnacentral:rRNA from 1 species